ACAAAUGUCUGGCUACGCUGCUGGUUUUGGGUGAGAUGGUUUUGGACUAGACUGAGCAUCAAACUGGAAGGACUGGCGUUGUUUUAAGGGCUAGGUAACCAGUGUGUGUAAGCUGAUUAUCAGUAGCCAGGCUAAUUUGAGCGUUAAGCCUGAUGGGCCAUAUGCUGAUUGACCCAGCACCCUGAGUCUCCUCCCCCUCAGCCAGACACUCACCUGUUCCUCCCCCAGUUACCAUCACAGCUGAUCUGUUUCAGAUUAAUCUAUUAUCUCUCUCUCUCCCUCUCUCUCUCUCGCUCUCUGAGGGGGGAGGGGUGUUGUUGAGUUCUGAGUUGGCAUGACGAUCCGACUCCCUGCCGUCCAGAGCCUUCUGUCCGUUUCCACGGUGACCUGAUCCCAUUCUGUUCUCCAAGUUCCGGACCUGUGGAACACCGACUGGAACACCGACUGGAUUACCGUUGUUCCGCAGACGGAGUGUGUUCAGAGAGAGGGGAGUUCUGGGAAAGCAGUGAGGAUGCCAGUGCAGCAGAUCUCCGUGGUCCCCGCUCGGGAGAUGGCCAAUAACGGCCGGAGCGCCCCUCGCUCCAAAGACAAGACCGAGAGUACUAAAGGAGGUCCAGGUCGGUCAGGUAGUCGAUCCAGCAACAUCUUGAAGGUAUUGAUUGGUUUAUUGUUUGAUUCUGUCGACAGCAGUCACUGCUGAUCGGUUAGAGGUGAAAGACGUGUGCUGUGAUUGGUUGUUGAAGUGAAGGAGUGUCCUGUGAUUGGUUGUUACAGGCCAGCAGUUCUACGACGGGAUUGGCUCCUGGCAGUGUUUCCAGGACAACUCCCUCCUCUCAGGACAUCUGCAGGUGAGACUGUGCCUUCACUUGGCUUGAACGUUUACAAAGUAAAAAUUUUUUUUUUUUAAACAUGAAUUUUUUUUAUUAAAGAGCACAUAAAG
rnacentral:lncRNA from 8 species